rnacentral:rRNA from 1 species
AUUGAACGCUGGCGGCAUGCUUUACACAUGCCAGUCGAACGGCAGCGCGGGCUUCGGCCUGGCGGCGAGUGGCGAACGGGUGAGUAAUACAUCGGAACGUGCCCAGUAUUGGGGGAUAGCUCGGCGAAAGCCGGAUUAAUACCGCAUACGACCUGAGGGUGAAAGCGGGGGAUCUUCGGACCUCGCGCUUUUGGAGCGGCCGAUGGCAGAUUAGCUAGUUGGUGAGGUAAAGGCCUACCAAGGCGACGAUCUGUAGCUGGUCUGAGAGGACGACCAGCCACACUGGGACUGAGACACGGCCCAGACUCCUACGGGAGGCAGCAGUGGGGCAUUUUGGACAAUGGGCGAAAGCCUGAUCCAGCAAUGCCGCGUGUGUGAUGAAGGCCUUCGGGUUGUAAAGCACUUUUGGCGGGAACGAAAAGGACUGUGCCAAUACCACGGUUCGAUGACGGUACCCGCAGAAUAAGCACCGGCUAACUACGUG